GUUUACGCUAGCAAAGGAAGCUAAAGCUACAGGUUGUUUUUCUUCUCUUUUCUUCUCCCUAAAUAAACACAUCGGAAACAUGGUUUGUGAAAAAUGUGAGAAGAAGCUUGGUAGAGUUAUCACUCCGGACACUUGGAAUGAUGGAGCUCGGAAUACAACAGAAAGUGGAGGGCGCAAGUUGAACGAAAACAAAAUGCUGACAUCU